UACGAAGGGUGCAAGCGUUACUCGGAAUUACUGGGCGUAAAGGGCUCGUAGGCGGCCAACUAAGUCGGACGUGAAAUCCCUCAGCUUAACUGGGGAACUGCGUCUGAUACUGGAUGGCUUGGAUUUGGGAGAGGGAUGCGGAAUUCCAGGUGUAGCGGUGAAAUGCGUAGAUAUCUGGAGGAACACCGGUGGCGAAGGCGGCAUCCUGGACCGAGAUUGACGCUGAUGCGCGAAAGCCAGGGGAGCAAACGGG
rnacentral:rRNA from 1 species